UAGACCGGCCGAUACGCUAAACCGGCUCACGGUCCUAGGCCGGCCGAUAUGCUAGAUCGGCUCACGGUCCCUUGUGUACACUAAUCCUGUCUAACAUCUGGAUAGAACAGGAUCCGAAUUCGAUUAACUUCUGGUGCCAGAUAGGUAUCAUACAAGCUCAUAAAAGUUUUGGCAAGUCAACUACUUUAAUAUAACUUCAUUCAUGUAAACAUCAUGAAAUAGUGUGCACUUCAGAUUUUGAGUUUAGAAAGCCCACCUGAUCGUGGUCUGACGACACUAGUAAUUCUGAACUAUUGCUUUACCCUUGCUUGUAUCCGACCUUCAGUAUAAAAACUGACUAAUAAAUAAUGAGGAAAAUGACCAUGGACUAAUUUAUAAAGAAUGCUUAUGUUGGUUUUAAGGUGAUAGUUCUACUGAAAAUUUUGAUAUAAAGACUAGCUGCUACUUGAUAACUUAUCAAAAUACCAACAUGGACUUUAAACUGUGAUAUCAUAACUACGUCAUUAGUCAUAACUCUACUUGCACUAAUUAAUAAAUAACUAUGAAUUUAGAAAUACUAUAAAUCUCUUUUUCUUUUCUUUAAAGACUUGAUUCUGGAAUACUCUAAUGUGUAACUAUUAGGCUCACAUUGAAAUGAUUUCAGCCCAGUUAAACAAAUUAAAGACUCAAGUAUAUAAAUUAAAUCUAUUGUCUAAUUAACCAUCGAAGCUAAGAAUUAAAACUAACCCAACUCAAUUGAAUAAAUGAAGAGCCCAAUUAAUAAGUUGAGUCCAUAGUUAACUUACUAUCCUGGUCCAAUAUCAAUUUUGUUAAAACCAAGUCAUCCGAAAUAGGGCCCAAAAAUAAAUAGGCUUAAGAAUUUACUUAGCCUAAUUAAAUUAAUCACUCUUAUAACAUAAAUCUAUAUAAAAUAAAAAACUAGUCUUCUUCUUAAAAUAAAGGAAAUCAGAUUCCUCCUUCUCUCCUCAGACGUGGUCUUUCUCUCUCUGUUCACUCGCCCGCGUCUGUCACUCUCCCUCUCUCUCACGCUUGGCGACGUCGCCGGUCAUCGCCGCCUCCGGCGCAGCGAGGCCGGCGCCUCUCUCUCCCCUUCUUCUUCCUUUCCUUCAUUUUCCCUUAAUUCUUAAAUCAAAAUCAACCUAGGGUUUUUUAAUCUCCCCCAUCACUUUCACUCCUCUGGAGAAUCCCGGCGAAUAACGUCGCCGCCGCCCCAGCUCGUCGGAUUUCCGCUCCUCCGUCGUUCUUCCUGCCUCAGGGAUUGGUUGGCAUCGUCGACUCCGGUGUGGCAGCUUCGUCUACUGCCCAAGAUUCUACCUUUUCUUCCUUCGUUUUUAUUUAUCUGGUUUCUUGUUCAAUUACUGAAAAUUGGGAUCGUUGAUGAUAAAGCAUACUGCUUAUGCUUAACUUGUAUAACUAUAUCAUUUUUCUAUUGUUCGUGGCUGUUGAUCUAUACUCAAUGAAUGGAUUAUUGAAUAAAAGAAAGACUACCUUCUUUGCUGUGAA